GACGAACGCUGGCGGCGUGCUUAACACAUGCAAGUCGAACGAGGUCCAAGGAGUAGCAAUACUCUGGAAGAUCUAGUGGCGAACGGGUGCGUAUCACGUGAGAAACCAACCCCGGUCUCUGGGAUAACAGGUGGAAACGCCUGCUAAUACCGGAUGCCGUCGUUUCCUCGCAUGGGGAGAUGACGAAAGGGCUACCGGAUCGGGACGGUCUCGCGGCCUAUCAGCUUGUUGGAGAGGUAACGGCUCACCAAGGCAUCGACGGGUAGCUGGUCUGAGAGGAUGAUCAGCCACACUGGGACUGAGACACGGCCCAGACUCCUACGGGAGGCAGCAGUGGGGAAUCUUGCGCAAUGGGCGAAAGCCUGACGCAGCAACGCCGCGUGCGGGAUGAAGGCCUUCGGGUUGUAAACCGCUUUUACCAGGAAGGAAAAUGACAGUACCUGGAGAAUAAGGUGCGGCCAACUACGUGCCAGCCGCCGCCGUAA
rnacentral:rRNA from 1 species